AAACCAACAGGGAUUGCCUCAGUAACGGCGAGUGAAGCGGCAAAAGCUCAAAUUUGAAACCUUCGGGAUUGUAAUUUGAAGAUUUGGCAUUGGAGAAAGCUAACCCAAGUUACUUGGAAUAGUACGUCAUAGAGGGUGACAACCCCGUCUGGCUAACCGUUCUCCAUGUAUUGCCUUAUCAAAGAGUCGAGUUGUUUGGGAAUGCAGCUCAAAGUGGGUGGUAAACUCCAUCUAAAGCUAAAUACUGGUGAGAGACCGAUAGCGAACAAGUACUGUGAAGGAAAGGUGAAAAGAACUUUGAAAAGAGAGUGAAAUAGUAUGUGAAAUUGUUGAUAGGGAAGGAAAUGAGCGGAGAGUGGUUUAGGUUUCAGCUUUCCUUUGGGAUUGUGUACUGCCGACGCCGAGUCAUUGACAGCGAGACGGGGGUUAUAAACGGGUUGCUCUUGAGCUUCUCACCCGACCCCCCCACUGCCGCCAACGACAUAAUCCGCC
rnacentral:rRNA from 3 species